rnacentral:rRNA from 1 species
UAAGGAAUAUUGGACAAUGGGGGCAACCCUGAUCCAGCCAUGCCGCGUGAAGGAUGAAGGCGCUCUGCGUUGUAAACUUCUUUUAUACGGGAAAAAACCCCUCUACGUGUAGAGGGUUGAUUGUACUGUAAGAAUAAGGAUCGGCUAACUUCGUGCCAGCAGCCGCGGUAAUACGAAGGAUUCGAGCGUUAUCCGGAUUUAUUGGGUUUAAAGGGUGCGUAGGCGGGUUUGUAAGUCAGUGGUGAAAGCCCUCAGCUUAACUGAGGAAUUGCCGUUGAUACUGCAAGUCUUGAGUACACUUGAGGUGGGCGGAAUGUAUCAUGUAGCGGUGAAAUGCUUAGAUAUGAUACAGAACACCAAUUGCGAAGGCAGCUCACUAAAUUGUAACUGACGCUGAGGCACGAAAGCGUGGGUAUCAAACAGGAUUAGAUACCCGCGUAGUCC